UCUUCAGUGAUGACUGAUACAGUAACUUUUGUUCUUCUGAGUCUACUAAAGCCAACCUUUCUGUCCUGAGAUUU